rnacentral:lncRNA from 1 species
CCUCUUUCGAAUCCGCAGCAGCAGCAUGCGUCUGUGCUUGAGGUGAUGGACCUCAGGACCCAAGUGAAUCAAGGCAUCAAGCAUAUCUUGGCCUUGCCUCUUGGGGUUCGGAGGACAUAUAUACAUCUGUGCUUGCAGAGAGUUAUCCUUCGCCUAGGGUGGUGCUCUCAUCCAUGAUUCUGUGAUUAAUGUACGUGUUACCUCAUGAGAUGUGCUAUUUCCUCCAUGAUUCAGUGAUUAAUGUACCUGUUGCCUCACGAGAUGUGCUCUUUCCCUGGAUCAAAGAUUGAAGAGGUGCUCCCAGGAGCCAGCAUGCAUGAUAAUUGUUUUUAAAUUUUAGUGCUAGAUUACUUGAAUAAUUAUGUUUUUGGUUCUCUCUCUCUCUCUCUCUCUCUCUCUCUCUCUCUCUUCAUGGCGGUGGCAAUUAGAAAUAAUUUUUUCUCAGAUCUUUGGGGCCCAUAGUUGAGUAGAGGAACAAGACUGUCCUAAUAUUUAGAUCUCAACUUGAUUUUUCUACUUUAUUAGUAGAUGUUGUUAUUUUUUUUUUAAGAUUGGUGCAUUGUAUAUGUUGAUUGACUGUCAUGCCUUUGUGUCCCUGCAAUGCAAGUUCUAGUCUUUCAUACUUACAGCAUUCAUAGUACGGCAAUUGGCUGGUAUAGUGGUAUACGCACCCUGAUCCAUAACGACUGCACGAGUAGUGUGAUUAUUGAGAUGCACAAAGUGAAACACCCAAACGACCUAGGUGGAUAACACGUUGAGGUACACUGAUUACAGCAAAUGAGCUCAUAGUCAACAGCCGUUCUGUGUGUUUGAGCUCAAGCGGCUUAGUUAGCUAGUGGCGGUAUGUGGGCUGCUGCUAACCCGCAAAAUGCUUGCGGCUUCUUAGUCUCUAUGUUUGCAGGCUGCUACAACUGCAAGCGCUACCAGCAUCUCUACUCUCUAUAGUGAGAAACUUAGUGAAAAUGUUUUUUUUCUUGUGAACACUUAGUAAAAAUGUUUGUACAUCCUAUUUAGUUCAGAUGUGUUUACAUCAGGGAUGGACUAAAAGCUACGAUAUGACAUGGGCGCACCAACAGAGAUCACUUUAUAUUAUUCCGUGUGAAUGAUGCCGGCUCUAUAAUAUAAAUAAUCCUAGAUGAUAUGCCUAUAGUAAGUAAAGAAAGACCAGCAAAUGUUUGGUGGUAGCUAGCAGAAUAUUGGCAGCAG